rnacentral:rRNA from 1 species
CCUACGGGCGGCAGCAGUGGGGAAUAUUGGGCAAUGGAGGCAACUCUGACCCAGCAACGCCGCGUGAAUGAUGAAGGUCUUCGGAUUGUAAAGUUCUGUGAUGGGGGAUGAACACAAUGACUGUACCUAUAAAGGAAGCACCGGCUAACUCCGUGCCAGCAGCCGCGGUAAUACGGGGGGUGCAAGCGUUGUCCGGAAUCAUUGGGCGUAAAGCGUUCGUAGGCGGUAUGUCAAGUCUGAUGUUAAAGCCCGGGGCUCAACUCCGGUUCGGCAUUGGAUACUGGCAAACUAGAAUGUGGUAGAGGUAAAGGGAAUUCCUGGUGUAGCGGUGAAAUGCGUAGAUAUCAGGAGGAACAUCGGUGGCGAAAGCGCUUUACUGGACCAUUAUUGACGCUGAGGAACGAAAGCCAGGGGAGCAAAUGGGAUUAGAUACCCUUGUAGUC